UUAUUUGAGAGUUUGAUCCUGGCUCAGGAUGAACGCUGGCGGCGUGCCUAACACAUGCAAGUUGAGCGAUUUACUUCGGUAAAGAGCGGCGGACGGGUGAGUAACGCGUGGGUAACCUACCCUGUACACACGGAUAACAUACCGAAAGGUAUGCUAAUACGGGAUAAUAUAUUUGAGAGGCAUCUCUUAAAUAUCAAAGGUGAGCCAGUACAGGAUGGACCCGCGUCUGAUUAGCUAGUUGGUAAGGUAACGGCUUACCAAGGCGACGAUCAGU
rnacentral:rRNA from 1 species